rnacentral:rRNA from 1 species
AUGGCGUACUCCUCCUGUUUGACUCGGAGUUUGAAACCAAACAAACUUCUUCUUAGGAGGAUAGAUGGGGCGAUUCAUGUGAGAUCCCAUGUAGAUCUAACUUUCUAUUCACUCGUGGGAUCCGGGUGGUCUGGGGNNNNNNNNNNGGAUCCCUUUUUUGGCGUCCCCAUGUCCCCCCUGUGGUGUGGCGGCAUGGGGAUGUCAAAAGGAAAGGGAUGGAGUUUUUCUCGCUUUUGGCGUAGCAGGCCUCCCUUUGGGAGGCCCGCGCGACGGGCUAUUAGCUCAGUGGUAGAGCGCGCCCCUGAUAAUUGCGUCGUUGUGCCUGGGCUGUGA